rnacentral:rRNA from 1 species
UACGUAGGUCCCGAGCGUUGUCCGGAUUUAUUGGGCGUAAAGCGAGCGCAGGUGGUUUAUUAAGUCUGGUGUAAAAGGCAGUGGCUCAACCAUUGUAUGCAUUGGAAACUGGUAGACUUGAGUGCAGGAGGGGAGAGUGGAAUUCCAUGUGUAGCGGUGAAAUGCGUAGAUAUAUGGAGGAACACCGGUGGCGAAAGCGGCUCUCUGGCCUGUAACUGACACUGAGGCUCGAAAGCGUGGGGAGCAAAUAGG